rnacentral:rRNA from 1 species
UACGUAGGGCGCAAGCGUUGUCCGGAAUUAUUGGGCGUAAAGAGCUCGUAGGUGGCUUGUCGCGUCUGUCGUGAAAGCCCGGGGCUUAACUCCGGGUCUGCGGUGGAUACGGGCAGGCUAGAGGCAGGUAGGGGAGAAUGGAAUUCCCGGUGUAGCGGUGAAAUACGUAGAUAUCUGGAGGAAUACCGGUGGCGAAGGCGGUCAUCUGGCCCAACAUUGACACUGAGACCCGAAAGCGUGGGGAUCAAACAGG